CCAAUAGCGUAUAUUAAAGUUGUUGCAGUUAAAAAGCUCGUAGUUGAAUUUCGGGGUCUAUCCGUUGGUCGGGCUUUUGGGUCCGUACUGGCGUUAUGGAUUCCUACCUUCUGAAUAACCGGCAUGCCAUUAAUUUGGUGCGCUGGGGAAGCAGGACUGUUACCUUGAAAAAAUUAGAGUGCUUAAAGCAGGCUAUCGCCUGAAUACGUUAGCAUGGAAUAAUGAAAUAGGACGGCAUGGUUCUAUUUUGUUGGUUUCUAGGAUCACCGUAAUGAUUAAUAGGGAUAGUUGGGGGCAUUAGUAUUCAAUUGUCAGAGGUGAAAUUCUUGGAUUUAUUGAAGACUAACUACUGCGAAAGCAUUUGCCAAGGAUGUUUUCAUUAAUCAAGAACGAAAGUUAGGGGAUCGAAGACGAUCAGAUACCGUCGUAGUCUUAACCAUAAAUUAUGCCGACUAGGGAUCGGAUGAUGUUAAUUUUUUAAUGACUCA
rnacentral:rRNA from 1 species